rnacentral:rRNA from 1 species
GACGAACGCUGGCGGCGUGCCUAAUACAUGCCAGUAGAACGCUGAAGGAGGAGCUUGCUUCUCUGGAUGAGUUGCGAACGGGUGAGUAACGCGUAGGUAACCUGCCUGGUAGCGGGGGAUAACUAUUGGAAACGAUAGCUAAUACCGCAUAAGAGUAGAUGUUGCAUGACAUUUGCUUAAAAGGUGCAAUUGCAUCACUACCAGAUGGACCUGCGUUGUAUUAGCUAGUUGGUGAGGUAACGGCUCACCAAGGCGACGAUACAUAGCCGACCUGAGAGGGUGAUCGGCCACACUGGGACUGAGACACGGCCCAGACUCCUACGGGAGGCAGCAGUAGGGAAUCUUCGGCAAUGGACGGAAGUCUGACCGAGCAACGCCGCGUGAGUGAAGAAGGUUUUCGGAUCGUAAAGCUCUGUUGUAAGAGAAGAACGAGUGUGAGAGUGGAAAGUUCACACUGUGACGGUAUCUUACCAGAAAGGGACGGCUAACUACGU